UCUGACACUGCAAGACUGCCGCCCGGCGCCCGUCUACAGUUACGUCACCAGGGCGGGCCGCCCGCCCAUCUUGCCUCGCUGCACUACCGAGCCGUGGCCAAGCAUAAGUACAUUGAGGUGUCAUCAUCGGGCGCGGUCCAUGGCCUGUCUACGGGCACGGGUCGAGUGCGGCUCGUCGCCACGGAUAUCGCUCACGUGGAGAUGGCCAGUGCUGAGGCUGAAGUGGAGGUGAUCCCGAUAUCCGGCCUUCGAGUCCGCGCGGCGACCCAGAGCUUACUAGUCGGGUCUCCAGGACCCAUAUGGGUGGAAGCAAAUGGGCUGCCGGCUUCGGCGCUAGCGUCGCUGAUGCCGCUGCCCCGCCUCACGUGGUCUGUGCGCGACCCUACUGCUGCGAGGCUGUACACUACACAUGCUG